rnacentral:rRNA from 1 species
GUCUUUUUGAUAAAAAUAUAAAGUCUAGCCUGCCCACUGAAUAAUUUGAAGGGCCGCGGUAUUUUGACUGUGCAAAGGUAGCAUAAUCAUUAGUCUUUUAAUUGAAGGCUUGUAUGAAUGGUUGGAUGAAAUAUUAACUGUCUCAAAUUAAUAUUUAGAAAUUAAUUUUUAAGUUAAAAAGCUUAAAUUAAAUUAGAGGACGAGAAGACCCUAUAGAUCUUUAUAAUAAAUAUAUUAUAAAUAAUUUAGUUAAUUGUAAUUUGUAAUUUAUUAAUUAUUUUGUUGGGGUGACAGAUAAAUUUAGUAAACUUUAUUUAAUAUAAACAUUUAUUUAUGAAUAAUUGAUCCAUUAUUAGUGAUUAUAAGAUUAAGUUACCUUAGGGAUAACAGCGUAAUUUUUUUAGAGAGUUCAUAUCGAUAAGAAAGUUUGCGACCUCGAUGUUGAAUUAAAGAUUAGUUUAGGUGCAGAAGUUUAAAUUUUUGGUCUGUUCGACCAUUAAAUC